CUUCCCUAUUGGGAAGUCCAUUAAAAUCUUCGCCCUCGACGUCCUUGCGAAGAUACUGCUGCAUCUCAAGUUAUUGGUGCUGUUGUUUGUCAAAGAUGAAGCCGGAACAAAUGGAACCAGUUCCUCAUUGUAUUUUGCCAAUUAUCAUCCAACGAUGUAAUGUUGUAUGGGGGAGUGAGGACCGUUUGGUAAAUGACACCGAGAAAUAAGGAAAUCUAUAAUUAUGUGAAACAGCAAUCAUUUGCUGGAACAGCAAACAUAUAACCAACCUUCAAUAAUACAGCAGACAACAGAAGCAACAACAACGAACUCAUCGUCGUCAACAAUUUCAACGAUUGACAAUAAAAUGAAUCCCCAAGAUUCGAUCCACAUAAUAAUA